CUCUGACAGAGGAUUACUCACAAAGUACACAGUAAAGUACUUCAUUUUAUUUCUGGUAGAAGUCAAACUAGAACCGAGUCCAAGAGAGUCAGGUUCCUUAAGAACUUGUGGUAAAACAUAUUUGUAUCACUCAUUGAAUAUAGCAGGAAUGAAGAGCAGCUGAUUUGAAAAGACAAAGUGGAGAGACGCGGAGUGACCGCAGUGCAGAACCGCUGUGUAGUUGAACUCUCCUAACAAUGUUCUCCAUUUUAGACACAGGCUUAUUAUAUUUACAGCCUUAGUAACGUUCAUUCUCUGGGCUCAAUGUGUGUCUGUUUCCGUUGAGAUCGCUAAAUGCACCUUGUUUAUAAUAAUCACCGUUCCUUCAGUACUUCAAUACUGCAGUGAUUCAAAGUGUGACUUUAGCAAACGAGUGCUUUUGUUUUGAAAUCACUUCCGUGAGUUUGGCCCCGCCCCUCGCUCCAAGGACCAUGAGACCAUUAGUAAGGUGAAAGCAGAAAGGCCUCCCAGACGCUCUUCCGUUUACGUGUUUAAUAAAGAAAAACAAUUGGACCGUAGAUCCACGGAUUCAUAAAUAAUAUCAAUAAUAAUCUUUAUACAAAAUUAUUAAUAACAACAAUAAAUAAUGAAAUGCAUAAUAAUCAUAAUUCAUGAAUAAUAGUAAUUUACCUUUAACAACAGUCUCUUAAAAAUGUAAUAAUAAUAAAACUCUAAAUGAUCUGUAGUGGCCUUUCUAGACUACACACAGGUGUUUGUGAUCUUUACGUUGAACAUCCUGUGCACUAAAUGACCUUUACGUUGUGAUCUUCUGGAUGACAACACUACACAUCCUUUGUGUAGUUUAAUGAGGACACACAGUGGGACUAAUCGAGAAUGAACUGAUCGCAAUCAAAUGACUGACUUUUGCCUUUAUUUUCUAGAGUCGCUCGAAAUAAAUGGAAAUCAAGAGGUGAGGGCAGAGCCUGGAGAAAACGUCACUCUUCAGUGCAACAGUGUCACAGAUGCUGCCAUCAGAGUGUUAGAGUGGAAGAGACCUGAGCUGGAGGACUCCGUCUUCUUCUUCAGAGAAAACAGGCUGAUGGAAAGCUUACCAGAAUCCACGUUAUCACGGUCGUGUUCAGCUGAAAGAUCCAGAGAUGAAGAACGGAGACGCUUCUGUUCUCCUGAAGAACGUCAGCAUCGACGACUCGGGAACGUACGAGUGUCGGGUUACUAACUCACUCCAAUAAUCGCAGGAAGAGAAACGUGAGAGAGUUGGUGCGCUCCGUCAAUCUGACCGUCUCUGAAGGUCCUGAGAAGCACCUGAAGAAUGGAGACGCCAACGAUGAACAACCAGAGGGUUCAGGAGGAAACGUUGGGUUGGGAGUUGGGUUGGUACUGGUUGGUCUCGUCGUUGUUGUUGUUGUUGUUGGUGCUGGACUUGUUGUGAGAUCUCAAAGAGCUAAGGUGAAGAGACCAUUAGAGAGUUUCAAUGAAGACCUCUUCACACUUGACUGUCCUCAAUCCCCUGCUUCUAAACUAAAUCCUCUCCGUGAAUCACUACCUUGUCGUGGUGGAGGGGCUUACAAACCCCCUGCUACACAAACGCCUGGUCCAGGUGAGGGUUACACCAAAUGUGAUUCCAUUGAGAAGUAGCAGAAAAGUUAGCGAUCAGCCAAUCAGAAGGAUUUACUUUGCUGCCGAACAAAGCGCUAACAACAUGGCCGACGUCCCCAAAAUAUCCGAUGCAGUGAUUUAUGGGUUUAUUUCAAUAUCAAUUCAAAUCUUAGACUCGUUGUAAAGAGGUUUUAAACUGCAUCUAUUGUGUUGGUGAUACAUUUCACAUUGCUUUCGUGUGCUGGUCUGGAAUGUAUUUAUAGGGAUAUAUUUUGUGUUUACUUUAAUAUAGUUAAGUUCUAUUUUUAUAAAUAAUUUGUUCUUAUUUUCAUAUCUCAAGAUUAUAUAUAGUGCAUGUGCACACUGUAUGUAAUGAACACGUUUCCUUAUUCCAAAGUCAAGAAAGUUGAUUCAGUUUAACUCAACGUACUUAAAAGACAUUGUUUAAUUACAUUUACUUUUUAAAUCAAUACAUUUGAUUUAGCUUAAAGCUCUACUGAGAAAUCAUUUGCCCGAUGCUUGAUACCUGUUUUUCAUAUUCACAAUUUCCUUUCCUCCCAAAUAUAAUACUCUUCUGCACUAUUUGAUCUGUUUUAUUGCUCUGCUGGCGGAGCUUCAGAUGUUCAUUGGUAACUCAACUGUAGCUCUGCACACAAACCAUAAAAGCAUUGAAUAAUA